rnacentral:rRNA from 1 species
AUUGAACGCUGGCGGCAUGCUCUACACAUGCAAGUCGAACGGCAGCGCGGGCUUCGGCCUGGCGGCGAGUGGCGAACGGGUGAGUAAUGCAUCGGAACGUGCCCAGUAGUGGGGGAUAGCCCGGCGAAAGCCGGAUUAAUACCGCAUACGACCUGAGGGUGAAAGCGGGGGACCGAAAGGCCUCGCGCUAUUGGAGCGGCCGAUGUCGGAUUAGCUAGUUGGUGGGGUAAAGGCUUACCAAGGCGACGAUCCGUAGCUGGUCUGAGAGGACGACCAGCCACACUGGGACUGAGACACGGCCCAGACUCCUACGGGAGGCAGCAGUGGGGAAUUUUGGACAAUGGGGGCAACCCUGAUCCAGCCAUGCCGCGUGCGGGAAGAAGGCCUUCGGGUUGUAAACCGCUUUUGUUCGGGAAGAAAUCCUCUGGGCUAAUACCCCGGGGGGAUGACGGUACCGGAAGAAUAAGCACCGGCUAACUACGU